CAGAAAUCUGGUGCAGCUUUUGACACAAUGCUUGGGACGUCUGUUGUCUUGAAUUUUCUGUGGCAGAAGGAUAUAAUUAGUAUUUGCAUAGUCACAUCAGAACACCACUUUCAGAUAGAGUUGCUUAUUAAUGUUACCAGAAUUGAGGAAAGAUAAAUGAUGAGGUCAAGCAAGUAUCUAUACAAAACAAUUCGUUAUAUGAGGAGAGAAUGUGAAUGAGAAUGAACAAGGACACAUGGCAGAAUUUACAUCCUUGCGUGUGCAGAAGCAGCGGAAUGGAAGAAAUAAUUCCCUGGCUUCAGAUUCAAGUUGUUUGGUAUGUGUUCUUGAAACGUCCUCGUUAACAUUAGCUCCCACUGCAGCUCCAAAAGGUAAAGGGAAAAGAAAAAUUAAGUUCUUUUGGAUGCCAAAUGAUAAACUCAUUGAAAUGGAGAUACUGUUAAUUAAGUAUCAUUAUCAGGAGAGUUCUUCUUAAUGAGAAAACAAUUAACAUUGUAUUUUAUUUUUUUAGUAUUGAACAGGUUUAUGACAAAUGAAUAAGGUUUUCAUUUAUUUCUUUGAGUAAAAGAAUUCUUUCAAUUUCUUGA